UUACGGGAGGCAGCAGUGGGGAAUAUUGGGCAAUGGGCGAAAGCCUGACCCAGCCACGCCGCGUGAGUGAUGAAGGCCUUCGGGUCGUAAAGCUCUGUGGGGGGGGACGAACAAGCCGGGACCUAACACGUCCAGGCCCUGACGGUACCUCCUUAGCAAGCACCGGCUAACCAUGUGCCAGCAGCCGCGGUAAUACAUGGGGUGCAAACGUUGCUCGGAAUCAUUGGGCGUAAAGCGCACGUAGGCGGUUACUUAAGUCGGAUGUGAAAGCCCUCGGCUUAACUGAGGAAGUGCAUCCGAAACUGAGUAGCUAGAGUACGAAAGAGGGUCGCGGAAUUCCCGGUGUAGAGGUGAAAUUCGUAGAUAUCGGGAGGAACACCGGCGGCGAAGGCGGCGACCUGGUUCGAGACUGACGCUGAGGUGCGAAAGCGUGGGGAGCAAACAGGAUUAGAUACCCCUGUAGUCC
rnacentral:rRNA from 1 species